CCAGCCGACAACGGGUACGGGUUGUGAGAGCAAGAGCCCGGAGAUGGAUUCUGAGACAUGAAUCCAGGCCCUACGGGGCGCAGCAGGCGCGAAAACUUUACAAUGCAGGAAACUGUGAUAAGGAAACACCGAGUGCCCGCAUCUAAUGCGGGCUGUCCAUAUACUCAAAAAGUAUGUGCUAGCAAGGGCCGGGCAAUACCGGUGCCAGCCGCCGCGGUAAUACCGGUGGCCCGAGUGGUAGCCGCUUUUAUUUGGUCUAAAGGGUCCGUAGCCGGUCCGGUCAGUCCAUUGGUAAAUCCGCGCGCCCAACGCGCGGUCUUCAGUGGAUACUUCCGGACUUGGGACCGGGAGAGGUAAGAGGUACUAUAGGGGUAGGAGUGAAAUCUUGUAAUCCUUAUGGGACCACCUGUGGCGAAGGCGUCUUACCAGAACGGGUCCGACGGUGAGGGACGAAAGCUGGGGGCACGAACCGGAUUAGAUACCCGGGUAGUCCCAGCCGUAAACUAUGCCCGCUGGGUGUCAGGCAUGGCGUGACUGUGUCUGGUGCCGUAGAGAAGUCGUGAAGCGGGCCACCUGGGAAGUACGGCCGCAAGGCUGAAA
rnacentral:rRNA from 1 species